AACGUAGGUCACAAGCGUUGUCCGGAAUUACUGGGUGUAAAGGGAGCGCAGGCGGGGAGAUAAGUUGGGAGUGAAAACUAUGGGCUCAACCCAUAAAUUGCUUUCAAAACUAUCUUUCUUGAGUAGUGCAGAGGUAGGCGGAAUUCCCGGUGUGGCGGUGGAAUGCGUAGAUAUCGGGAGGAACACCAGUGGCGAAGGCGGCCUACUGGGCACCAACUGACGCUGAGGCUCGAAAGUAUGGGUAGCAAACAGG
rnacentral:rRNA from 1 species